rnacentral:lncRNA from 1 species
CAGAGGUGGAAGGUGAAGAAAUGUUGUUUCCACAAAGAGAGUUGUCAUUCCUUUGUGAUGCAUACCUUAAAGUCAUCAGAGACUGAGAAGCUGAGAACAUACACCUUGACACUGAACUUGACAGGCAAACAACUGCUGGAUGAUAAACCGAUGACUUUUUGAUAGGAAGGAUCUGACAAUGAAAAUGACCUUUCUACUGUAUUGCAGCCAGCUCAGAGCAACACAGAGGCAUAAUUACAAAUGCCCAGAAGUAAAAUACUGACAUCUUUUCCUAUUUUGCUUCGUGAGAAUUCAGUAAAAAGCAAAACCAGGAGGGGAUCUAGCUUCAGUUUUGACCUUGAAAAUCAGGUGGUGGAAGGCAGCUCCAUUUCAGUGGGUCCCAGACCACAGGCAUGCAUCUACAUGUGGGCACGACCCUGGAAAACACUCUGGCAGAAAUCCCAGAACUGCUGUAACAGACAAAAGUAUGCAAUAACAGUUUCUCCAUAGAGCGUGCAUCAGUAAACACAGCUUCAGACUCCUCAUGUGGGUAUGUGACUUCAGAGUGCGUGUGAGGCAAGGCGUUAAUACCUAAUUUACUGCAAGAAGAACGAAGUUUGGCAGACUUCCUGGUGGAGCAAGAAGUCAUCCACUGGACCAGUGUGUGAAAAGCCAGUGCUAGUGAAAGCUGCAGGAGAAAAAUCAGGAAAUAUGUACUUAGAUAAGCAGAUCCUGGACACACAGCCUUAGAAUGAAGAAUUGAGAGUUCAUGGCUUAAAAUGAAUGUUCCAAAGAUGCUGCACACAAAAAUCCCUUCAGACACAAGACAAAAUGAAGCUUUUCAGCCAAAUUAAAGACAGGAUAGCCUGGCUGUGUGUUUUGAAUAUGUUUCUGUGCUCAGCCUUCCAUCCUGAAGACCCUUUGUGAUAAAGGUAACCAUGAG